GCAUCGAUGAAGAACGCAGCGAAGUGCGAUAAGCAAUGCGAAUUGCAGAACCGUGAGUCAUCAGAUUUUUGAACGCAACUGGCGCUGGCUGGGUCUCCAGCCAGCAUGCUUGUUUCAGUGUCUUGUUUUCUCCUCACCCAAAACUUAAUGCGAGAGAUACCCUUCUCUUGUCAAGCAUGAAAGCACUCUGUUUCUGCCAGCGAUUCUUGACUUGUUCAGGAGUCGCACUCAAUGCAGACGUCACAUUUCUUUUAAUGUGAACUCAUUGGGAGCAGGAAUUGUCAGCUAACGCUGUCAGUGCUUAGUCACUUAAACUUUCUUUGCAUCUGAAAUCAAGCAGGAUCACCCGCUGAACUUAAGCAUAUCAAUAAGCGGAGGAU
rnacentral:misc_RNA from 1 species